rnacentral:lncRNA from 1 species
CCUGCCUCAACCUCCCGAGUAGCUGGGAUUACAGAGAAAGGAAACUGGCAUUGGAGAAUUUACAUUCUAUGGGAGUUUGGGCACUGUGACAUCAGGUGCUUCGAUGGUCUGCAAGAGUCUCCUUCUCUUUAAACUAAGGACUAGCAAUGAAUCAACUGUCACCUGAAGUCCCCCGAAUUCAAAGAUAGUGAGAAGCAGAUGUGAGACAGAAAAGAAAGUGCAAUAAAUAGUCAUCAUGUUUUUUUAAGAAAAAAAAUGUUUACAGAUAAAGUCUACAGAAAGAAAUGAGCAGGCCUCCAAGUGGUGUCAUAGCUGGAGAGGUGGAUUGGCGGAGUGGCAGAUGUGGGAUCGAAGUCUAUCACUUUCAUAACAACAUCAACCUCUCGGAGUGUUGUCUGUGACCCUUAUGAUGAAUGAGGACUUUCCACCCCUGCAAUACUGUAUGAAAAUAGACAAGAGCUAGUAGUCCUCCUGUCUUCUUCCUCUAUGGCAAGGGCUUUGAACCAUGUGACCUUUAAGAUGCCCACUGUUUCUGAAGGAUCUAUGAUUCUCUGACAUCUGACUCAUAAGCCAUGUUUCUUCACAUACAAGCUUUUGGAGUAAGAUUAGUAUCUUUGGUCAGAAGAACUUUCAAACAUGUUCCCAUGUUAUCAGAAUCUUUUCUUACCUCUUUAUU